rnacentral:rRNA from 1 species
UACGGAGAGGCAGCAGUGGGGAAUAUUGCACAAUGGGCGAAAGCCUGAUGCAGCUAUGCCGCGUGUAUGAAGAAGGCCUUAGGGUUGUAAAGUACUUUCAUCGGGGAGGAAAAAACAAAACUAAUAAUUUUAUUUCUUGACGUUACCCGAAAAAGAAGCACCGGCUAACUCCGUGCCAGCAGCCGCGGUAAUACGGAGGGUGCUAGCGUUAAUCAGAAUUACUGGGCGUAAAGAGCACGUAGGUGGUUUUUUUAAGUCAGAUGUGAAAUCCCUGGGCUUAACCUAGGAACUGCAUUUUGAAACUGAAAUACUAGAGUAUCGUAGAGGGAGGUAGAAUUCUAGGUGUAGCGGUGAAAUGCGUAGAUAUCUGGAGGAAUACCUGUGGCGAAAGCGGCCUCCUAAACGAAUACUGACACUGAGGUGCGAAAGCGUGGGGAGCAAAC